AGGAGGUGGAAUUACUUAGGCAAGGAAUGGACGGAUACCAAGACGGCAACACGAGCUCAUUAGGACAAGUCAGGAACGUGUAUAAGGUAUCAAAGCGAGGAGAGAAAG
rnacentral:sRNA from 1 species